rnacentral:rRNA from 1 species
AGAUUGAACGCUGGCGGCAUGCUUUACACACGCAAGUCGAACGGUAACAGGCCGCAAGGUGCUGACGAGUGGCGAACGGGUGAGUAAUGUAUCGGAACGUGCCCAGUCGUGGGGGAUAACGCAGCGAAAGCUGCGCUAAUACCGCAUACGAUCUAUGGAUGAAAGCGGGGGACCGUAAGGCCUCGCGCGAUUGGAGCGGCCGAUAUCAGAUUAGGUAGUUGGUAGGGGUAAAGGCUCACCAAGCCAACGAUCUGUAGCUGGUCUGAGAGGACGACCAGCCACACUGGGACUGAGACACGGCCCAGACUCCGUACGGGAGCAG